ACUAGUUUGAUCCUGGCUCAGAUACUACGCUGGCGGCAUGCGCUUACACAUGCAAGUCGAACGGCAGCCAUCCCUUCGGCGGUGCCGGCGAGUGAACGGGUGAGUAACACAUCGGAACGUACCGGCUAGUGUCAUAACCCGUCGAAAGACGGGCUAAUACAUUAUAAGCUCUUCGGAGGAAUAGCAGGUGGACCUUGUUGGCCUUGCGCUAGCCGAGCGGCCGAUGUCCGAUUAGCUAGUUGGUGGGGUAAAGGCCUACCAAGGCGACGAUCGGUAGCGGGUCUGAGAGGACGGCCCGCCUGGGACUGAGACACGGCCCAGACUCCUACGGGAGGCAGCAGUGGGGAAUCUUGGACAAUGGGGGCAACCCUGAUCCAGCAAUGCCGCGUGGGUGAAGAAGGCCUUCGGGUUGUAAAGCCCUUUCGGCAGGGAAGAAAUCGGCGGCGAAUAACCCUGCUGGAUGACGGUACCUGCAGAAGAAGCACCGGCUAACUACGUGCCAGCAGCCGCGGUAAUACGUAGGGUGCGAGCGUUAAUCGGAUUUACUGGUAAAGCGUGCGCAGGCGGCCCGUUAAGACAGGUGUGAAAUCCCUGGCUCAACCUAGGAAUUGCGCUUGUGACUGGCGGGCUAGAGUACGGUAGAGGGUGGAAUUCCUGGUGUAGCAGUGAAAUGCGUAGAGAUCAGGAGGAACACCGAUGGCGAAGGCAGCCCUGGGCCUGUACUGACGCUCAUGCACGAAAGCGUGGGGAGCAAACAGGAUUAGAUACCCUGGUAGUCCACGCCCUAAACGAUGUACUAGCCGUUUGGUGCAUCAACGCGCUGAGUGGCGAAGCUAACGCGUGAAGUACCGCCUGGGGAGUACGGAUGCAAGGUUGAAACUCAAUAGGAAUUGACGCUACCCGCACAAGCGGUGGAUGAUGUGGAUUAAUUCGAUGCAACGCGAAGAUACCUACCGACUUGACAUGUGCCGAAUCCCGCAGAGAUGUGGGAGUGCCCGAAGGAACGGCAACACAGGUGCUGCAUGGCUGUCAGAAGCUCGUGUCGUGAGAUGUUGGGUUAAGUCCCGCAACGAUGCGCAACCCCUGCCAUUAGUUGCCAGCGGUACGGCCGGGCACUCUAAUGGGACUGCCGGUUCAAAACCGGAGGAAGGUGGCAACGACGUCAAGUCGGCAUGGCCCUUAUGGGUACAUCCACACGUCAUACAAUGGCGCGUACAGAGGGUCGCGAAGGACUAGGUGGAGCCAAUCCCAGAAAGCGCGUCGUAGUCCGGAUUGGAGGCUGCAACUCGCCUCCAUGAAGUCGGAAUCGCUAGUAAUCAUGGAUCAGCAUGCCGCGGUGAAUACGUUCCCGGGUCUUGUACACACCGCCCGUCACACCAUGGGAGUGGGGUGCACCAGAAGUCGGUAGCCUAACCGCAAGGACGCCCACGGUGUGCUCCAUGACUGGGGUGAAGUCGUAACAAGGUAACCAAU
rnacentral:rRNA from 1 species